AAAGAGAAAGGGAAAGGAGCAAGCCAGGAAGCCAGACAACAACAGCAUCAAAACAAGGCUGUUUCUGUGUGUGAGGAACUUUGCCUGGGAGAUAAAAUUAGACCUAGAGCUUUCUGACAGGGAGUCUGAAGCGUGGGACAUGGACCGUUCACUGGGAUGGCAAGGGAAUUCUGUCCCUGAGGACAGGACUGAAGCUGGGAUCAAGCGUUUCCUGGAGGACACCACGGAUGAUGGAGAACUGAGCAAGUUCGUGAAGGAUUUCUCAGGAAAUGCGAGCUGCCACCCACCAGAGGCUAAGACCUGGGCAUCCAGGCCCCAAGUCCCGGAGCCAAGGCCCCAGGCCCCGGACCUCUAUGAUGAUGACCUGGAGUUCAGACCCCCCUCGUGGCCCCAGUCCUCUGACAACCAGCAGUACUUCUGUGCCCCAGCCCCUCUCAGCCCAUCUGCCAGGCCCCGCAGCCCAUGGGGCAAGCUUGAUCCCUAUGAUUCCUCUGAGGAUGACAAGGAAUAUGUGGGCUUUGCAACCCUCCCCAACCAAGUCCACCGAAAGUCCGUGAAGAAAGGCUUUGACUUUACCCUCAUGGUGGCAGGAGAGUCUGGCCUGGGCAAAUCCACACUUGUCAAUAGCCUCUUCCUCACUGAUCUGUACCGGGACCGGAAACUUCUUGGUGCUGAAGAGAGGAUCAUGCAAACUGUGGAGAUCACUAAGCAUGCAGUGGACAUAGAAGAGAAGGGUGUGAGGCUGCGGCUCACCAUUGUGGACACACCAGGUUUUGGGGAUGCAGUCAACAACACAGAGUGCUGGAAGCCUGUGGCAGAAUACAUUGAUCAGCAGUUUGAGCAGUAUUUCCGAGACGAGAGUGGCCUGAACCGAAAGAACAUCCAAGACAACAGGGUGCACUGCUGCCUGUACUUCAUCUCACCCUUCGGCCACGGGCUCCGGCCAUUGGAUGUUGAAUUCAUGAAGGCCCUGCAUCAGCGGGUCAACAUCGUGCCUAUCCUGGCUAAGGCAGACACACUGACACCUCCCGAAGUGGACCGCAAGAAACGCAAAAUCCGGGAGGAGAUUGAGCAUUUUGGAAUCAAGAUCUAUCAAUUCCCAGACUGUGACUCUGAUGAGGAUGAGGACUUCAAAUUGCAGGACCAAGCCCUAAAGGAAAGCAUCCCAUUUGCAGUAAUUGGCAGCAACACUGUAGUAGAGGCCAGAGGGCGGCGAGUUCGGGGUCGACUCUACCCCUGGGGCAUCGUGGAAGUGGAAAACCCAGGGCACUGCGACUUUGUGAAGCUGAGGACAAUGCUGGUACGUACCCACAUGCAGGACCUGAAGGAUGUGACGCGGGAGACACAUUAUGAGAACUACCGGGCACAGUGCAUCCAGAGCAUGACCCGCCUGGUGGUGAAGGAACGGAAUCGCAAGUAUGACCAGAAGCCAGGACAAAGCUGGCAGGGGGAGAUCCCAAGCCUAGCCUUGGGUGAGACCAAGCCCUACUUUUGUUCUUCUAUAGGCCCUGGGCUCAAUCUAAGCGGGUGCUGGGGUCCUCCUCGCCUUAUCAGCCCUUUUCUCCCUUUAGCAAACUGACUCGGGAAAGUGGUACUGACUUCCCCAUCCCUGCUGUCCCACCAGGGACAGAUCCAGAAACUGAGAAGCUUAUCCGAGAGAAAGAUGAGGAGCUGCGGCGGAUGCAGGAGAUGCUACACAAAAUACAAAAACAGAUGAAGGAGAACUAUUAA
rnacentral:sRNA from 1 species